AUAACACGUACUGAUAAAUAAUCAUAUGUUUUGCAUUAAAGUAUUUAAAUGGCUUACACAACCUCGUUUGAAAUUUAUGGCGUUAAAUAUUAGAUCAAUUAUGAUAUAUAAUUAAGGUGAAGGUAAUUGAGUGUUUACAAAUAAUUAACCAAAAGAAUAACACGAUGCGAAGCUGAGCGCAGAUGAUAAGAAGAAAACGCCAAUCAAAAGAAACAAAUUAACUUUUGAUCAUGAUAAAAGAACUUGUUUUUAUCCGAUCUUUAUCUAACUUUUCAUAUUCAAAAUCAUAAUGGGAUAAAUUUAAAUACUCGAUAUACUCGAUAUACCAGUAUGUAAGAAUACAAUUUGUAGAAAUUCGACACUAUACAAUAUGAAUAAUUUGGCAACGGAACUCAAUACCGAAGUAUAAUUCUCAAUCAAUGAGAAAACGGAAGAAUUUGGCAACAGGUGUGAGGAUAACGAUCUUUUCUGAUACAUUUCAAUCGCUUAUGACAGUUAGGAUAUUACGCAAGGGAAAGAAACGAUUUUGCACAUACAUUUCUAACGUUACACGUGAUCGCCUGUUUAUGAUGAAUAUCUAUAAAUUUUUGGAUUUAAAAGUAUUCCAAACCUAGGGUACAGCUUACAUGGACGAUGUUGAAACAGACACACAAACUGCUAGUAGACAGUGUCAGGUAUAGUUAUAUUUAUACUCAUAAUUUUGUGUAAUUUUUACAAUUCAGAGUUUUGGUUUUGAAUUUUACUUUUGAUUUUGUAAAUGAAGUCCUAAUUUUAUUGACUAGUUAACAUAGCAUAGUUCCGGAACUCAUAAUUUGUGUAGUUUUUGCAAUUCGUAGUUGUUUUUGAAGACUACUUUUGUACAUGAAGUUCUAACUUCAACGACUAGUUUACAUAUAGUUCCAUGGUUAUCUUUUUAGAUAAAUUUUGAUACUUUCUUGAUAUUCAAAACGAAAUAUAUUUUGUAGUUAUAAAAUCAUAUGCUGGACACUAUUUGUGUCGUUGUCAAUUUCGUGCUCUACAUUUUAUUGACUCAAUUAAUAAAUUUGCUACUUAUCACGUUCGCCAUCUGUUUUAAUUUACAAUUAACUGCUGAUCUAGGUCCGCAGAAUAGCAAUAAGGACUAGAAGACGGUAUCUUCUUACAUUUCCAAACUUUUUUCUUAACACUCAUUGAGGACCGAAAUUAACUCAACAAUGUUACAUGGUGCGCAACAGAACUCAUUCAAUGUUAACUUUAUCACUAGCUAUCAAGUUAGAGUUUUCAAGAAAUUCUUAUAUCAUCGCGUUUUUUUUUUAUAUAUAUAUCUCCCCAUUAAACUUGAUGUCUGUUGUAGAAAAGACAAUAGUAAUAUAAAUCGCUUUGACUGUAUAAAUGUCCACCUCUUAACCUAGCACCCUCGCCCCAAAUGUUGGACUGAUAUUCAUGAAAAUAUAAGAGACUGGUAAAGUUAAGCUUACAUAUACUUAAACCCUCUUGAAACGCAUACAUGUAUACAAGAGUUAAGUUCAACAAAAAUCGUUAUAAUAUUAAAUCGACUUAUUACUCUAAUCUGUAAAGAAUUAGGAUUACUGUGAUCAUCAAAACUGUAUAUACAUUUAAUUAGGAGGGAUUAAAUAUGUAUCUGGCUAGCCAAAGGCUAUAAAUAUAUAUACAUGUACUUAUGAAAAUAAUCAUAUGUUGUUUAUGGUGAACCGUUGUUUAAAAAGUCCCUUCAAGUCUAGCACUUAAGAGAAUCAUCCUCACCAUUAUCGUCUUUUCUUCGUGUGUGUGUGGUAAGAGCCAGUGGGGACUUUAUAUACAUGUAUAAAUGGGCCCCUAGAUUGUUGUAAGGUAAAAUCAAAACUAUAGUGACCAACAAUUGUCUUUAAUCAUCGUUAUCGUUUAAAGCAAUGUCGUCUUCGUCAUCGUCGUCUUCAUCUUCAUCGCAAUCGUCAUCGAUAUCGUCGUCAUUGUCAUCAUCAUUGAUCGUCAAUGAUCGUUAAUAUUCUUAUAGAUAUUUAAAUAUUAUUUCAUGCAUUCAUACACUUUUUUCAAAUAAGGGACGAAAAUGUACAGACAUAUGUUCAAAGGAGUCUUGCUGAAAAAGGGACAGAUGGGUUGUCCGACAGUUCAAACUUCUCAAAAAAAAACUUUCUUUUUUUACAGUCUCUGCAUUCUUAGGAAUGCAUGCGUUCUUAUGAAUUCAUGUAACUCCUACUCGUGGUAACGUAUGGAUUUUAAUUGAUAUCAAACCAACUAGAAUUAACUGUUGUUUGCAAUAAAAAAAGAGUUUCCUAUUUUUAAUUUGAAAAACCAGAAUUUGAAGUUAAAUCCGACACGAAAGAGAAUCAGUAAGAUAUUUCUUAGAAGGAAAAAAAUGUCCAAUCUAUAAGACAAAGGAGGAAAAACAUCAACAUGUUACAAUUUCAAGUGCAGAAGUCCCUUUCGACUCUGUCGGUAGGGAACUAAAAACUGGAUUCUUAGUAACAUAAGAAUUCUAAUUUGGUAUGUUUUUUUUUGGAUGAAAAACCAUUGAUCGAAGUUCAUUGCAUGUGUAUAUAGCACAGAAUCCUUUCAUACUAAAAAUGUGAGCGUAAAUGAACACACUUUUACAACCCAAUGAAAUUACAAAAAGAAGCAUUCGAUUUUUAUAACUGUAUGUUUAUGCUAUGGAAAUAACGAGUUGAAAUAAGUCUUUUGUACGUUUUUUUAUGCAUUAUAUUGACAUUGUCACGAAGGGCACGUGCAGUAAAAGCUGUUGCACUUUAUUGGGAAAUCAAAUAUAACUUUUGGACCCUCCUCCUUCAAUCAAAGUUACAAUAAAUGGUAUUUUGAGUGAAGGGUAAAACUUCUGUAAGAUUUAAAAUGCAUGUAUGUUUUCACUAAUCAUAUGUAAACAUCGAAUUGUAAUUAAAUUUUUGUUAUUUCUUUUAUUGCAAAUAUCCCCAUUGAGGGUAAAUUUACUUGAUAUACUAUAUAUACUUACAUAGAGAUUUUACCAUUUAAGUGGUGUUUCUUUUGAAACAUGUGUAAACAACUUUAAAAUCCCGUAACACUUUCAGUUCAUAUACAAACAUGACUGUUAUAUGUAUAUUCUAUAUGUAUAUUUUGUCUUGUAUAUAUAUAUAUAUAUAUAUAUAUAUGUGAACAUGAAUCAGACCGUUUGUUCUUUUUUAUCAUAGCGGGACCUUUUACACAAAGGCUUUCUACACAGUAUAGGUUUUGUCCAUUGUUGAAAGCCGUUUGUAUCAUCAUCAUCCGUUGAGAGUAUAGUCUCUGAUGCAUUGAUAAUUGUUUUUAUUGAUAAUCAUAACAUUUCUACACUGGACCCCUGCUUUUGAUCCGCUUUUGUGGCUUAGCGUCAAUCAGUGGGUGGCCAGUUUAACCACAUCUCCUUAUAUUUUUAUGUAAGCGUCUAAUCUAUGUCUAGGCUCAAACCUGUGUCAUUUUACCACAUUCUUCCAUUAUAUUGCCUCUUGGACGUCCCUUAUAUUCUCAUAUCGUUGUUCUUUUCGCUUAGCCAUGUCCUGUCUAAUAUUGUAUUACACAAUUUUUUCUUAUACUAACCGAGAAACUUACUUAUAUACUCGUGGUAUUAAUAUAGUAUUUAACCCAAUCUGUAACAGUUAAAGGUUUGUUGUUUUAAAAUUGAUAUUAGGUAUAAACUUUCAUGCGACAGAAGUCCACCAAUACAAAGAUUGCAAAACUGAGACGUUAUAGAAUUACAUGUUACGAUAGGUGACUGCAUAGUCACUGUGUAUGUCCUAAUGAUAAUGAUAAGUGUAGUAGGCUAGCUGACACAAUUAAGUAGGGGAUGUUAAGGACACGGGGAAAGACCUGUUUUCACCGAUUUACGCGCUGUCCGGCCUUUUCCAAUUUUUAACAUGAUGGCUAUACAGUCACAUUGAUUUGAGGUGAUACGGAAAGGCACAUUGCUUGAUUCAGUGACCGGCGUUGCAUUGAAUUAAAAUCUACAUAUUAAACACGACACAGAUUUUAUGAAUACAAAGGGCAACAUAUUUGGGUUUCAUGACGUCAAAGGGCAACAUAUUUGAGUUUCAUCACGCAAAUGCACAAAUAUUUGAAACUUUUCUCGGAAAAAAAUGUGCAAGUUGAAUGCUGCACAUAGAUGUACCUCUUACAUACUUGUCCUUGGGUCUCUGGUCUAUUACAAACUUGUUUUGCAUUGGCAAUCACACCUCUCCUUAUAUGUAUAUUAUAUGCGUAUAUCCAAAUGGUUUUUAAACAAAGUGUAAAAUUUCUUGAGAUUUAAAUUAAAUCACUAACAAAAGAAAAACUUCAAUUCUAAUUCAAUUUUUUUUAAUAUUUAUUGCAAAUAUCUUUCGUGAAUUUAAAUUACUUUAUCGCUCAAUGAAAUGGAGAUUUUACCAUUUAAUUGGUAUUUCUUUUGAAAAAUGUGUAAACAAUUUUAAAAAUCUCGUUUCACAUUGUACAAACAUUUUAUUGACUACGGCAUGUAUAUUUUGUCUAUGUGUAUAUGAGAUCAAGUUUCAGAGGUUUAUUAUAUCAUGUUAGAUCGAUCAUUUGUGAUCAUUUUAUAGUAAAUUUAUACACAAAUUUUGAUCAGUAUCGCAAAGGGCUAUUUGGUUUAAGUCCUUGUUACCGCACAUAUAUACCUCGAAGGAUGGUUUAAAAUCACCAAUACCAAUUUUGGAGUUUAAAAUUAAGUAAAAUAAGUUAAUAUCACACGUCCAGUGACCAAGUCAACUUGUUUUUAUACGCUAUUACUAAAUAUUAAAAAUUUUGAAUGGAUACAGAAAUUAUACUUGGAAAUAAACAUGAUACGGUAAGGAGAUGUAAUUUAUGCACACACGUUACUUGAAUACAAAAAGGUUAAAUAACACCUUUUCACAUUUUAACUGUUUUUUUUUCUCAUACUUUCAUCAUUUAACUAUCAUUCCUUUUCAUGUUUUGUUGAUUUACUAACUUUUAGUAUACCCCCCCCCUUUUCCAGUCUUACCAACACAUUUGAAUAUGGACGUCAGCCAGUGGCGGAUCCACAAAUUUUCAUAAUGGGUUGGACCACUGACCUCCUUAGAGGUGGCUCGCUUCAUUAAUGCUUUAGUGAGUACCUAUAAAAUCAACCCCCCUUAAAAUCCGCCUCUGUUAGCUCUAUCUACCUAAUCAUUUUAAAGCGAGUCGUUGUUCUUUUCCUUCCGUCUUUCCGUCUCCCUUUCCGAUCAUUUUUUUAAAUUAUAUUAACGGAACAAACUCAAAAAAGACUUGACAUCUUAUUAUAUAUUGUGUCAUGCAAAAGAAAUGCGUUCGUAAUGUAUUUAUAAAUCGUCAGAUAUUUGACGUAUAGAAUUUGACACUAAAAACCACACUCUGACAGGAUAGUUCAGUGCAUAAUCAGACAAUAUUUAUGCACAGACGGCAAUGUAAACAUUGUUAUCACAAAUAGUCAAUGAACAGACAGUACGGUAUUUAUUUGCCACAUCACAUUAUGUUUCAUCGCCAGUAUUAUGUAAAGAUUGGAAUAAAUGCAACAGUCCUGUCUUCCUCAUGCAAUUUAAAGCUCUUGAUUAUUGAGUGGCCGGCUUGGCCAAUACCUUUUGUCUUUUUUGGUUUAUAAGCUCCUCAUUUUUUCAAUAUUUCUUUUUUAUUUUCAAAUAUCAUGUUCGGCCUCGACCGUCACAAGAAACAUUAUUGUCAACAAUUCGCUUCUUGGGCAGUAAAAUUGGUACAUUUACCGUAAAUGUUUGAGUAUAUAUGUUUUAGAGGACAAAAAUAUCUCACAUUUUUUUCUAUUUUUCUUCUUUCAUUUUUUUUUUUGCCUCUUUCUCUUUUAAAAUACCCUACCUUUUCUUUGGUUUCUUUUUUUUUUCCAUUUUAUUCGGUUCCUUGAAAGGUGUAUUUGUUUCACGUUAAUGUGUCAAUACUGGAAAGUUGUUUAAAAUUAAAGAACUAGAUUGAUAAGAAAUCUAUAAGUUGUAUAUUAAAUAUGCUUACAAUAUUUAACAUAUCUUCAUAUAUUUAUACAAACAGUGCAUCAACAAGUAAUUCAGAGCUACACAUUGGUACUUUUAAAUCCUCGCAUCAUAUAUAUAGAAAUUAGGAACAGGCUUUUUUCUAGCCUCCCCCUUUUUUCUCCCAAAAUCCGUUAUUUUUUAUUCUAUUAUCCACAGCGGUCACUGAUUAUGAUCACUGACCGCUGUAGAUAGUAAACGUGAUAGUUAAGAGCAAAUGCAAGUUAUUUCUAUUAUAUUUUUGUUCAUAAAAUACAAAAGAAUGCGACUAAUGUUGAAAUUAAUAGAAAACUUAAAAAGGACGGAGUUUGGGAAAAAAGGGGGAGGCGCUAAACAUAUCCUAGUAUCCCUAGUUAAUUAUGGUUAUCACCAUUAAAAUAGACAAGAUAUAUAGGGAAAAGUAUAUUAAAUUUUCAACAAUAUUUUUUAUAUAUUUUAGAUUGAAAUUUUGCUGCCGGACAAGCGAAGACAAGUGCAGCAAAGAUUUGGACUAAUUUGUUUUUUCAUUGUUAUCGUCAUGGUAAUCGGAAUAUUAAUAGGAUUUGUUGUUUACCUAGCAACCAAUAGAUAAACAAUGAUACAUUUAGGAAACUAGAUAAUUGAUUUUAUACUCAAAGAUCAUGUGAAAGUGACCAAAACCAAAUAUAUAUAUAUAAUAUGUAUACAUUUUUUUACGCACAGCAAUUAAUACUGACCAAAAGGUUUGUGAAAUCUGUGGACUGAUAUUUUUUCAGUUAUCAUUUAACUCAUUUCGUAACUUUCAUCAAUUUUCCGUCCAAGUAUUUGUAUCCGUCUUAUGUAAUUUGGACAAAGUUUUUAUAUUUGGCGGGAAAUGUAACAUAUGGUUUAAAACGAUCCAAUGAAAUAUAUUUUAUGUUUAGUCACGUUUGUAAACAAAGUGAACUGUAAGUCACCUGCCACGUCUCAAUAUAUAGUUGACAUAAACAUACUGAAUACUGAAGUCGUAGAAGCUCUCACAAUGGCUGACGCUGAUGAAAAGUAUUUGGACGAAUAUGACGAAUAUAAUAUAAAACAGGACAAAAUUUCUGGUCACCACGGGGGUAAAGGGCGUACGAAAAAAGAGUCAGAACAGCAUGUGCACCCAGAUCCCGGAGGCCAUACCCGAAAAGCCACUCAAAAAUUGAUGAAUAAUGCACAAAACCAAAAAGACACAAAAAAAGAUGGAAAAUAAACGAAGGUAUGUUAUUUUUGCAUGUCUAAUUUGAAAGGAAUUUAUUAUCAUAUGCACCACGGAGAUCACGAGAGAAUUGUUUACAAAUUGGUAACAGAUGUCGAAUGUUUUCGUUCGAUUUUUUAUCUGUCGUCAACCGCAUUAAUUUCACAUGUUUAUUAUAUUUAUUCAUUUUCUUGACAAGGGAUGACGUAACAGUGAAAAGUACAUAUGGCAAUGCAAUUAUUACAGCGUAUUGAUCUCUUCUCCAGAAUUCCUCCCCCCUUUUACGCGCAUGCUUCAAUUAUUGCAAUUAACACGUCGGUGAAAUGUACAAGCGUUUUUAAUUUUAUUCAAAGGUAGUUAAUUAAAUAAAUAAACUAUAAAUAAUGGAUGCACAUCGAUUGACGCUAUAUAUAAAUAGUUUUGAUGUUGCAAGGCCAUGUAUUGUCUUCUUUCUCGAUCAUUUUACUGAGUGACCUGGGGUCAUGAACAAAAACAUGUUUAUUAAGCGCGCAAAUGUUACUGUGUGUAUUUUGUGUGUUGUGAUAUAUAUCAAUGCACAAAGUUGAUACUUCCAGAAUAUAUUUUGGUUUAGCUGUUUAGGGACCAACUAAAACCCGCCUCUGGUUGCGGAAUUUUCUGUGUGUAAACCCAAUAGUGACCAUGGGCCGUUUUCUGCUUUUUGGUCGGGUUGUUGUCUCUUUGACACAUUUCCCGUUUCCUUUCUCAAUUUUAUUUUAUUCCAAAAUUUGAUAUUGAAGAGAAAUUAGAAUACAGAUAGAGAAAGACACGAAACGGAGUAAGAGAAAGUAGAGAAUUGUCCCAGAUCCCGACUCCAGAUACCGUCUACCUUUUCUGCCAGAGUUCACUAUUUCAAAUGUAUUUUUCACCUUUAUAAAAUACACAUGCACUUACACUUAAGGGUUAGUGACCUUAAAUUAUAGGUUAACUAAAUAGACAAAGUGAUAGAUAUGAUAACAUACUGAUAAACAAAACAUUUUUUUUUAAAUAACUGCCUGAAAUGAAUGUGGAUGUGAAGAAAUUAAAAAAAAAGUUCGGAAAGUUGAAUCUUUAAGUUAGUUGUUUUGAUAAAUAAAACCUUUAACCUUAAACUUGAAAAACUCUGACAUAACAGUCUGAGUUAAAAAGCUACAGAGAGAGAGAGAGAGAGAGAACUUAGUUACUCAGUUUCGUUUCAAAUUGUAAAUAUAUAUUAACAUUCCGUAGACGCUUUCUAAUUAACUAUCGAAAUUAAUCAUGACCUCCGAAGACGACCGACGGUUUCAUAACCCGAUAUGAACAUAAAUAAAAAUUGACAAUGACCUAGUGCAAUUGAUCUUUUCUUUUUUCUUGAUUGAUUUCAUGGACAAUUCAUGGUAUAGGUUUGAAACAUUCGAUUUAACCUAAAAAAAAAUCAGUCAAACGAAAUGGUACAUUUUUUUUCACUUUCUAUUUUGACAUUCUUUUUCUUUUAAUGGCUCUGAACACGACUAGUACAUUCGUAACCACUAUUUCGCUAAUGAGUUAAAUUGAAGGUUCCUUGAAUACGGAUUCAAUGCUGUCAGAUUCUUCACUUGCAAGUAAAUAAUACAGAUACUUAUUUUGACAGAAAUUGAACUUAAGAUUAUUAUUGUUUCAUUGUUUAAUUAAUUUCGUUAAUGAUUGAAACAAAGUAUUUGAAAAAUUUUAUAACCCGUAUAUAUAUAGCCAGAAGUCCAUUUACUAGGUCUAGAAAUGGACUUCUGAUAUAGCUAAUGUCCCUUUAAAAUAACGCGCCCUCUGUGUUUAUUGCCAAAAUGCUGUUAAAUACUUCAGUAAGGAAAUGGAUGAUCUCUUCUUUCAUCAUCACAUUUUUAUACUUUUAUACUUCGUGUAACCGCGUAAGAUAUAUUAAGAAUAUAAACCCCAAAAAUAAUUGGAUUUUCUCCUAGGCCUGCUGGCGAUACAUGAUAAUCAGUAUCUGGAGAUACAAAUUUAGAAUCCGCACCUGCUAUAUACUGGCUACUUUAUUGGAAACCUGGCUUAUCUUUAUUAGAACAAUAAUUAUUGAUCAUGCACUUUUUGUUUGAUUAACUCUGGUAUCUUACAAAAUCAUAAUUCGAUUAUUUAACUGCUUCACGGUGUCCGAUUUUCUCUAAAUGCAGCGGAAUAUAACUACAUGUAUACUGGCAUUUAAUUAUUCGGGUUAACACAUAUAUUAAUGAGUUCCGCUGGGUAUUAAUAUAUUUGGGGAGUUUCCAAAGGAUCAUCAUGUAUCAAACGAAAAAUGCAUGAUGCUUAUAUGACUCUUUAAAUUAUUACAUAAAAUCAAACUGCAAAGUUGAAAAUGAAUAAAAAGAAACAGCUGUUAUUGCAAAAUUGAAUCAAUCUUCCACAAUGUAAAUAUUAUAUAAGAAUCACAAUUAUAUUUCUUUAAGCUGUUUCACUAUUAUAUGUCGACAAGAUAAUGGCACAAUCGAUGACCAGCAUUUAAUUUAUAUGACUUAUUCUCUAGUUUUUUCCAUAUUUUUUCAAAGUUUUAAUCUAAUUUCAAUUUUCAAGUUCGUACCAAUUUUAAAAAUAAAAUCUCAAUCAAUAACAGACGAACGAACUCCAAUCUCGACUCCAGUUUACUCGUGGCACAAAUUAAUUUUAGUUAGGACAAAAUAAAAAGACACGAACUAAAACUUUCCUGUCUCCUCUAUUUUCAUUUUCUGUCUAUUGAAGCAAUUACCGCAAACAUGUGGUGCACACUUCCCGGGUUAUGGGAAAGUGUGCACCACAUUUUUGAGGUUAUUUCGAGUAGGCAGGGGAAAUAUUAGUCAUUCCUUACUAUUUAAUGCAGCCAAUUCAAUAGAAAACGUGUUACAUUCAAAAUUAAAUCUGACAUCAAAAUGAUAAAUUCCUGCUGGCCUAAUUUUACAAAUAAGGAUAGUAUUAUACUCUUGAACAUACACACGUUUUUGUUUGACCUUAUUUUAUACUCAAUUGUCUUCAUCAGGCAAUGUACUAGGAAGGGGGUCCCAAUUCACCCUAGAAAACUGCAACAUUGUCACGCAUGAAUCGAACUCGCCGUAUAUUUUAUAUGCUCGAAAAUUGCGCACAUAAACAUUAGUAACUGUAGUAAACUUGUCGUACUCUUGAGUCAGAAUUCAACUAAUCAUAUUACUGGAUUUGGGGUUUUGGCCACAUAUUUUGCACUCCAUUCACUGAAUAAAGUUUAUUGACCAAGAACCCUUUACUCAGUUUAUAAAGGUACUCCGCAUCUUUGAGUUGUGAUAUAAAUACUUUCCACAUGCAGUUUUAUACGUCAAAUGCACUUUACAGCUAAGAGUACGUUACAUUAACGAGGCAUGAUUAAUUAAUGAUGAAAACAAUAGAUGAUAAGGAGAUAUGAAUCUUAUCAAGAAAACUGUAAGUGACAGCAAUUAUUGCGCAACAACAAUAUAUCAGAGAUGAUUUUUAUUUAGCCUACCGUUUGAUUAUGCUGUUCUUUGAAGUCGUUACGGGAUAAUCUGGUUUAUUUGAGUGUCUUGCAUAACACAAUUAAGAGUAUGGCAACAAGACAAAAAGCAGUUACGUUUGUCAUUUAUGUUGUAAACUACGUACAGUAUAAAUGUGCGACUUCAAUAUCAUAUCAGAUCAUUCACCCGUUUUUGUACAGUCCCUGCUGCUCAAUAUUUAGUUUUCUGUGCAGUUUAUCAGGUUUAAUUCUUUUUCAGGCCAAAACAAGAUGGAUACAGGACAUCGAUCUCAAGUUGGGUUAUGGAAGAUGACAACGAAUUUGGAUUAUGGUGAAUGAUGCAAAAUCAGCACUUUACUGUUAUAAACAGAGACAAUAGUGCAGAUUUGUUGCUCUAUUGGCAACUUUAUUUUGUUAAUAUAUAAUUCCUGUAUAUUAAAUAUUUUUUGUUAUAUU
rnacentral:lncRNA from 1 species